rnacentral:rRNA from 1 species
CCUACGGGGAGGAAGCAGUGGGGAAAAUUGGGCAAUGGGGGCAAGCUUGACCCAGCAAGGCGGGGUGAAGGAAGAAGGCUUCCGGGUUGUAAACUUCUUUUGUCAGGGAAGAGGAGAAGACGGUACCUGACGAAUAAGCCACGGCUAACUACGUGCCAGCAGCCGCGGUAAUACGUAGGUGGCAAGCGUUGUCCGGAUUUACUGGGUGUAAAGGGCGUGUAGCCGGGUGGACAAGUCAGAUGUGAAAUCCUGCGGCUUAACCGCAGAACUGCAUUGGAAACUGUUGAUCUUGAGUACUGGAGAGGCAGGUGGAAUUCCUAGUGUAGCGGUGAAAUGCGUAGAUAUUAGGAGGAACACCAGUGGCGAAGGCGGUCUGCUGGACAGCAACUGACGGUGAGGCGCGAAAGCGUGGGGAGCAAACAGGAUUAGAUACCCUAGUAGUC